rnacentral:lncRNA from 1 species
UACAUGAUGCCAAACUGGGAGGGAUUGCAACUACUUUGGAGGACAGGGUAAUGAUCUGGACAAAUUGGAGAAAUGGUCUGAGGUAAACAGGAUGAAGUUUUACAAAGACAAAUGCAAAGUGCUCCACUUAGGAAGAAAAAAUCAGUUUCACACAUACAGAAUGGGAAGAGACUGUCUAGGAAGGACUAUGGCAGAAAGGGAUCUAGGGGCUCUAGUGGACCACAAGCUAAAUAUGAGUCAACAGUAUGAUGCUGUUGCAAAAAAAGCAAACAUGAUUCUGGGAUGUAUUAACAGGUGUGUUGUGAGCAAGACACGAGAAGUCAUUCUUCCGCUCUACUCUGCACUGGUUAGGUCUCAGCUGGAGUAUUGUGUCCAGUUCUGGGCACCGCAUUUCAAGAAAGAUGUGGAGAAAUUGGAGAGGGUCCAGAGAAGAGCAACAAGAAUGAUUAAAGGUCUUGAGAACAUGACCUCUGAAGGAAGGCUAAAAGAAUUGGGUUUGUUUAGUUUGGAAAAGAGAAGACUGAGAGGGGACAUGAUAGCAGUUUUCAGGUAUCUAAAAGGGGGUCAUAAGGAGGAGGGAGAAAACUUGUUCACCUUAGCCUCUAAGGAUAGAACAAGAAGCAAUGGGCUUAAACUGCAGCAAGGGAGGUCUAGGUUGGACAUUAGGAAAAUGUUCCUAACUGUCAGGGUAGUUAAACACUGGAAUAAAUUGCUUAGGGAGGUUGUGCAAUCUCCAUCUCUGGAGAUAUUUAAGAGUAGGUUAGAUAAAUGUCUAUCAGGGAUGGUCUAGACAGUAUUUGAUCCUGCCAUGCGGGCACGGGACUGGACUCGAUGACCUCUCGAGGUCCCUUCCAGUCCUAGAAUCUAUGAAUCUAUGAAUCUCCCUGGUCACUCAAUAACAGACCUAAAAGUGUCAAUUCUUCAACAAAACAAACUUCAAAAACAGACUCCAAUGUGAAACUGCAGAACUGGAAUUAAUUUGCAAACUGGACACCAUCAGAU